rnacentral:rRNA from 1 species
GAUGAACGCUGGCGGCGUGCCUAAUACAUGCAAGUCGAGCGAACGGACGAGAAUCUUGCUUCUCUGAUGUUAGCGGCGGACGGGUGAGUCACACGUGUAUAACCUACCUAUAAGACUGGGAUAACUUCGGGAAACCGUAUCUAAUACCGGAUCAUAUUUUGAACCGCAUGGUUCAUAAGUUAAAUACGGUCUUGCUGUCACUUAUAGAUGGUUCCGCGCUGCAUUAGUUAGUUGGUAAGGUAACGGCUUACCAAGGCAACGAUGCAUAGCCGACCUGAGAGGGUGAUCGGCCACACGGGAACUGAGACACGGUCCAGACUCCUACGGGAGGCAGCAGUAGGGAAUCUUCCGCAAUGGGCGAAAGCCUGACGGAGCAACGCCGCGUGAGUGAUGAAGGUCUUCGGAUCGUAAAACUCUGUUAGUAGGGAAGAACAUAUGUGUAAGUAACUGUGCACAUCUUGACGGUACCUAAACAGAAAGCAACGGCUAACUACGUG